UACGGAGGGUAGCAAGUGCUAUCCGGAUUUAUUGAUUUUAAAGGAUGCGCAAGUGCGAUAUUAUGUCAGUGAUGAAAUCACGGCGCUCAAAUCCGAAACUGCCAUUGAUACUGAUAGUCUUGAUCUUGGUUGAAGUGGCCGUAAUGUAGCAUGUAGCGGUGAAAUGCAUACAUAUGCUACAGAACACCAUAGUACGAGAAGGCAGCUCACUAACCCUAAACUGACGCUCAUGCACGAAAGCGUGGGGAUCAAACAGGAUUAAAUACCCUGGUAGAUCCACGCUGUAAACGAUGAUCACUCGUUGUUGGCGAUACACAGUCAGCGACCAAGCGAAACCGAUAAGUGAUCCACCUGGGGAGUACGAUCGCAAGGUUGAAACUCAAAGGAAUUGACGGCAGCCCGCACAAGCGGUGGAGCAUGUGGUUUAAUUCUAUGAUACGCGAGGAACCUUACCUGGGCUCAAAUGUAAGUUGACAGAUCCUGAAAGGGAUUCUUCUUCGGACAAUUUACAAGGUGCUGCAUGGUUGUUGUCAGCUCGUGCCGUGAGGUGUCGGGUUAAGUCCCAUAACGAGCGCAACCCCUACCCUCAGUUGCCAGCAUGUAAUGAUGGGGACUCUGUGGGAUCUGCUUAUGCAAGUAGAGAGGAAGGUGGGGAUGACGUCAAAUCAGCGCGGUCCUUACGUACAGGGCUACACACGUGCUACAAUGCCCGGUACAGAGGGCAGCCACCUGGUGACAGGGAGCGAAUCUUUAAAGCCGGUUUCAGUUCGGAUCGAAGUAUGCAACCCGACUUCGUGAAGCUGGAAUCGCUAGUAAUCGCGCAUCAACCAAGGCGCGGAGAAUACGUUCCCGGGCCU
rnacentral:rRNA from 1 species